rnacentral:rRNA from 1 species
GCCAUUCACCAAAUCUCCCAUAAAUGUGCCCGAUCUCGUCGCAUCUCAAAAGCUAAUCAGGUUUGAGCCUGGAUAGUGCUCGGAUGGGUGGCCACCACGCAUAAGACACGGGUGUUAUAGGCU